GAUCCUGGCUCAGGACGAACGCUGGCGGCGUGCUUAACACAUGCAAGUCGAACGAGAGCGUAGAGAAAGCUUGCUUUUUCUACAAUCUAGUGGCAAACGGGUGAGUAACGCGUAAACAACCUGCCCUACGGAUGGGGACAACAGCUGGAAACGGCUGCUAAUACCGAAUACGUUCCGGAAGUCGCAUGACUGUCGGAAGAAAGGAUGGCCUCUAUUUAUAAGCUAUCGCCGGAGGAGGGGUUUGCGU
rnacentral:rRNA from 1 species